ensembl:lncRNA ZNF667-AS1 ZNF667 antisense RNA 1 (head to head)
ACACCGGUCUCCUAGGGGACUGGCGCCUGGCCCUGCUUUUCAUCCUCUCAGGAGAUCACGUGUGGACACUGAGGCCCUUCCUCGAGCUCUUUAACCAAACCCAACCUCCCCAAUUCGCCGCCUUCCCCGCUCCCACAACCACACGUUCCCGUGUGAGGGCUUAUUGCCUCCAGCCAGCCAGCGUCCUUCGCCCCCACAUUCACGAGGUUUGGAGCCGGCCUCACCCGCGGAGGCGGACACCGCCCACCCGCGCGUGCGCACUACGCAGUCAUCCUGCGACCUCCAGAAUCCACCGGGGUGCAGCGAGGCUGUGGAAAGUCCCACCCAGAACGUGAGUUUUAACUUCUAGUCAUGGCGAAUGAUCGCAGGAGAGCACAGACUGGACCCUGCUACGAUCUCUCUUGGAGUGGAUCAGACUGAUGAUCACCAACAACCAACUCAUUCCCGGAUAAGGAAGAAGAGAGUGUCACCUACUUCAGUGUGGUUUCAACCCUACUUCUGCAUCUUAAAGACACUUGUACAACGUUGGACACUGUGCAGGAUGAUGCCACUUCAUCUUGGAUGCUAAUCUGCCAUGUUGACUUCUGAUUAACCCCAGGCCCAGGAAUGCCUCAAGAUUUCUACUUUACUUACUGUUGCUUGUGUAAGCCAAGACAACCUUGAUGUUAUCAUAAACAUGUACUUACCUAAGUCCUGUCCUUUGGCAAAUUAUGGGCUAUGAGACACAGCAUUCUUGCCUUUCCCUGAGGGGUCAAUUUCAGCGAUCCUACACAUUCCUUCUGAAGCACUUAUGCUCUUUCUAUAUGGUAUGUAAGCUCUCGGUCUGGGGAGUAACAGUGCAGAGAUCUACCUGUCUUGUUGCCACAUGUUUCUAAACUUUCCAAUAAAUCACCUUCUACUGACAAACU